AUUGAACGCUGGCGGCAGGCCUAACACAUGCAAGUCGAGCGAGAGGCGGACGGGUGUGUAUUAUAUGGGGAAUGUGCGUUAGAGGGGGAUAACUAUUGGAAACGGUAGCUCAUACCGCAUACUAUCGGAUAACCCAUAUGGGAUUAUCUAGUAGGUGAGGUAAUGGCUCUCCUAGGCGACGAUCCCUAGCUGGUGUGAGAGGAUGAUCAGCCACACUGGGACUGAGACACGGCCCAGACGCCUACGGAGGCAGCAGUGGGGAAGAUUGCACAAUGGGCGCAAGCCUGAUGCAGCCAUGCCGCGUGUAUGAAGAAGGCCCUAGGGUUGUAAAGUACUUUCAGUCGGGAGGCGUUACCGACAGAAGAAGCACCGGCUAACUCCGUGCCAGCAGCCGCGGUAAUAC
rnacentral:rRNA from 1 species